rnacentral:rRNA from 1 species
UACAGAGGGUGCGAGCGUUGUCCGGAAUCACUGGGCGUAAAGGGCGCGUAGGCGGCUCGGUCAGCGUGCGGUGAAAGCCCGGGGCUCAACCCCGGGUCGGCCGUGCGAACUGCUGGGCUGGAGCACUGUAGAGGCAGGUGGAAUUCCGGGUGUAGCGGUGGAAUGCGUAGAGAUCCGGAAGAACACCGGUGGCGAAGGCGGCCUGCUGGGCAGUAGCUGACGCUGAGGCACGAAAGCUAGGGGGAGCAAACAGG